GUGACAGUGGUGAGGUCUGCGGUAGGAGUGACAGAUACAUUCAAGGUGGAUGUGGGAUUACAUCAGGGAUCGGCUCUGAGCCCUUUCUUAUUUGCAAUGGUGAUGGACAGGUUGACAGAUGAGAUUAGACAGGAGUCCCCAUGGACUAUGAUGUUCGCUGAUGACAUUGUGAUCUGUAGCAAUAGUAGGGAGCAGGUGGAGGAGACCCUGGAGAGGUGGAGAUAUGCUCUAGAGAGGAGAGAAAUGAAGGUCAGUAGGAAGAACACAGAAAACGUGUGUGUGAAUGAGAGGGAGGUCAGUGGAAUGGUGAGGAUGCAGGGAGUAGAGUUGGUGAAGGUGGAUGAGUUUAAAUACUUAGGAUCAACAGUACCGAGUAAUGGGGAUUGUGGAAGAGAGGUGAAAAAGAGAGUGCAGGCAGGGUGGAAUGGGUGGAGAAGAAUGCCAGGAGUGAUUUGUGACAGAUGGGUAUCAGCAAGAGUGAAAGGGAAGGUCUACAGGACGGUAGUGAGACCAGCUAUGUUAUAUGGGCUGGAGACGGUGGCACUGACCAGAAAGUAGAAGACAGAGCUGGAGGUGACAGAGUUAAAGAUGCUAAGAUUUGCAUUGGGUGUGACGAGGAUGGAUAGGAUUAGAAAUGAGGACAUUAGAGGGUCAGCUCAGGUUGGACGGUUGGGAGACAAAGUCAGAGAGGCGAGAUUGCGUUGGUUUGGACAUGUGCAGAGGAGAGAUGCUGGGUAUAUUGGGAGAAGGAUGCUAAGGAUAGAGCUGCCAGGCAAGAGGAAAAGAGGAAGGCCUCAGAGGAGGUUUAUGGAUGUGGUGAGAGAGGAUAUGCAGGUGAUGGGUGUAACAGAACAAGAUGCAGAAGACAGAAUGAUAUGGAAGAAGAUGAUUCGCUGUGGCAACCCCUAACGGG